UACGUAGGGGGCAAGCGUUGUCCGGAAUCAUUGGGCGUAAAGCGCGUGUAGGCGGCUAGGUAAGUCUGCUCUGAAAGCCCGGGGCUCAACCCCGGGAGGCGGGUGGAUACUGUCUAGCUCGAGUCCGGAAGAGGAGUGUGGAAUUCCUGGUGUAGCGGUGAAAUGCGCAGAUAUCAGGAAGAACACCCGUGGCGAAAGCGGCUCUCUGGAACGGUACUGACGCUGAGACGCGAAAGCGUGGGGAGCGAACAGG
rnacentral:rRNA from 1 species